rnacentral:rRNA from 1 species
AACUGCGAGUGAAGCGGCAAAAGCUCAAAUUUGAAAUCGGCGUCCUUUUCGGGCAUCGAGUUGUAAUUUGGAGGGAUAACUUCGGUACGGACUACAUCGUAAGUUCCUUGGAACAGGACGUCAUAGAGGGUGAGAAUCCCGUGUCUUGGUGUUUGGCCGUGCCAUGUGAAGUGUCUCCGACGAGUCGAGUUGUUUGGGAAUGCAGCUCAAAAUGGGUGGUAAAUUUCAUCUAAAGCUAAAUAUUGGCGAGAGACCGAUAGCGCACAAGUAGAGUGAUCGAAAGAUGAAAAGCACUUUGAAAAGAGAGUUAAAAAGUACGUGAAAUUGUUGAAAGGGAAGCGCUUGCGACCAGACUCGAUCUUUGGUGAUCAGCCGGGCUUCGGUCCGGUGCCCUCACCAUUGAUUGGGCCAGCAUCGGUUCUGACGGCGGGAUAAAAGGAGGAGGAAUGUGGCUCCCUUCGGGGAGUGUUAUAGCCUCCUUCACAAUGCCGCCAGUUGGGACCGAGGACCGCGCUUCGGCUAGGAUGCUGGCGUAAUGGUCUUAAGCGACCCGUCUUGAAACACGGACCAAGGAGUCUAACAUCUAUGCGAGUGUUCGGGUGGAAAACCCUUGCGCGUAAUGAAAGUGAACGGAGGUGUGAACCCUUUACCGGGUGCAACAUCGACCGGUCCUGAUGUCUUCGGAAGGAUCUGAGUAAGAGCAUAGCUGUUGGGACCCGAAAGAUGGUGAACUAUGCCUGAAUAGGGUGAAGCCAGAGGAAACUCUGGUGGAGGCUCGCAGCGGUUCUGACGUGCAA